UGGGAUUACAAGUGUGAGACACCACACCCA
rnacentral:piRNA from 1 species